rnacentral:rRNA from 1 species
UACGUAGGGUGCAAGCAUUAAUCGGAAUUACUGGGCGUAAAGCGUGCGCAGGCGGUUGUGCAAGACAGAUGUGAAAUCCCCGGGCUCAACCUGGGAAUUGCAUUUGUGACUGUACGGCUAGAGUGUGUCAGAGGGGGGUAGAAUUCCACGUGUAGCAGUGAAAUGCGUAGAGAUGUGGAGGAAUACCGAUGGCGAAGGCAGCCCCCUGGGAUAACACUGACGCUCAUGCACGAAAGCGUGGGGAGCAAACAGG